rnacentral:rRNA from 1 species
UACACUCCUGCGGGAGGCAGCAGUGGGGAAUUUCGGACAAUGGGCGAAAGCCUGAUCCAGCAAUGCCGCGUGAGUGAAGAAGGCCUUCGGGUUGUAAAGCUCUUUUGUCAGGGAAGAAACGGUGAAAGCUAAUAUCUUUUGCUAAUGACGGUACCUGAAGAAUAAGCACCGGCUAACUACGUGCCAGCAGCCGCGGUAAUACGUAGGGUGCAAGCGUUAAUCGGAAUUACUGGGCGUAAAGCGUGCGCAGGCGGUUUUGUAAGUCUGAUGUGAAAUCCCCGGGCUCAACCUGGGAAUUGCAUUGGAGACUGCAAGGCUAGAAUCUGGCAGAGGGGGGUAGAAGUCCACGUGUAGCAGUGAAAUGCGUAGAUAUGUGGAGGAACACCGAUGGCGAAGGCAGCCCCCUGGGUCAAGAUUGACGCUCAUGCACGAAAGCGUGGGGAGCAAACAGGAUUAGAAACCCCUGUAGUCCCA